UGAAUUAUAGCUCAGUGGCAGAGCAUUUGCUUUGCAUGCUGAAGGCACCAGGUUCAACCCCUGGCAACUCCG
rnacentral:tRNA from 1 species